CCGCCACCCUCUUUUUAGCAUUAAGAAGAGGAAGAAUCCUUCUUCUUUAAGACUCUUAGCAAUCUCAUUGGUUUCUACUAUUUCCUUAAUUAUCACAUACUAGAAAUUAUUAUGAGAAUUAUGGGUGCAAAAGAGGAAGAGCCCUUCUAUAUGAAGCUUCUUUUGCACCACUUAGUUCAUCAAAGAAUUUAUUUCUCUAUGUGAAGAAGUGGAGAACCAAGAG
rnacentral:lncRNA from 1 species